rnacentral:rRNA from 1 species
UACGUAGGGGGCUAGCGUUGUCCGGAAUCAUUGGGCGUAAGAGCGUGUAGGCGGUCCGGUAAGUCCGCUGUGAAAGUCGGGGGCUCAACCCUCGAAUGCCGGUGGAUACUGUCGGGCUAGAGUGCGGAAGAGGCGAGUGGAAUUCCUGGUGUAGCGGUGAAAUGCGUAGAGAUGCGGAGGAACACCGAUGGCGAAGGCAGCCCCCUGGGCCAAUACUGACGCUCAGGCACGAAAGCGUGGGGAGCAAACAGG